rnacentral:rRNA from 1 species
UUUCGUGUGAACAGCAGUUGAACACGAGUCAGUCGGUCCUAAGGGAUAGGGGAAACCCGUUCCGAAAGAUACUGAUAAUGACCGUGAUAAAUGGAGACAGAAAGUAUAAGUGCCCGAAAGGGAAUCGGGUUAAUAUUCCCGAACCUGGACACGGAGAUCGAUCGUACGUGGUGACCGUCAAAAGUUCCCGUCGAUCCAAUACGGCAACGUAAACGAACUCAGAGACGUCGUCGGCAGUCCCGGGAAGAGUUGUCUUUUCUUCUUAAGGAACACGCACUCCCUGGAAGCGUUUCGCUCGGAGAGAGGGAGGUCGUUUCCGUAAAGCACCGCGGCUCUUGCGGUGUCCGGAACACUGCCGCCGGCCCUUGAAAAUCUGAGGGAGAGAUUAAAAUUUAAAUGAAUUUCGUGCCAGACCGUACCCAUAUCCGCAGCAGGUCUCCAAGGUGAACAGCCUCUAGUCGAUAGAACA